AUCACUUCUCUCAGCCUUUUGGAUAAGAUCAAGUAUGGUAUCUGUUCUUAUAGGUUUAAUAUCUAAGGACAGGAUAUUAAAUGAAUUUUUGGAGCAGGGAGAUGGAAUAGGAGCUUGCUCCAUCCAUCCCACUCAUCACCCUGGUAUUGCAAUACUUCCAGAAAUAGUGCACCCUAA
rnacentral:snRNA from 1 species